rnacentral:rRNA from 1 species
UGGCUUAUUGCACCACAUGUGUUUUUCUUUGAAACAAACUUGCUUUGGCGGUGGGCCCAGCCUGCCGCCAGAGGUCUAAACUUACAACCAAUUUUUUAUCAACUUGUCACACCAGAUUAUUACUUAAUAGUCAAAACUUUCAACAACGGAUCUCUUGGUUCUCGCAUCGAUGAAGAACGCAGCGAAAUGCGAUACGUAAUAUGAAUUGCAGAUAUUCGUGAAUCAUCGAAUCUUUGAACGCACAUUGCGCCCUCUGGUAUUCCGGAGGGCAUGCCUGUUUGAGCGUCGUUUCUCCCUCAAACCGCUGGGUUUGGUGUUGAGCAAUACGACUUGGGUUUGCUUGAAAGACGGUAGUGGUAAGGCGGGAUCGCUUUGACAAUGGCUUAGGUCUAACCAAAAACAUUGCUUGCGGCGGUAACGUCUACCACGUAUAUCUUCAAACUUUGACCUCAAAUCAGGUAGGACUACCCGCUGAACUUAAGCAUAUCAAUAAGCGGAGGAA